rnacentral:siRNA from 1 species
UGAAUUAUAAUUACCACCGAGC